AGAGAAGAGCGCGAGCGCAGAUAAUGAGCGAUUUUGCAUUUCUACUUUUCCGUGACAAUUAUACUAGCACUUGGUCUCCCUCCCCUGCCCCCAAGUGUACAUGAGUUCAUUUUAACUGCUUUCUCAUGCACAGACUGGACCCCCAGGGAAAUUAAAGCUGUGUGUAGCCAGAGCAGUCACUUUUGGUGAACAUUUAGAGGAAAACUGAAAAAUUACACAAAGGAAUAGACGGUCCCAUAAUCCAUCUGGAUCACACAUGCUCAACGACAUGUAGAAACAGGCCUUAUUUAGAAUCUAGAAUUCGCCAGGCAACUGUGGGAUUAUGUCAUAGCCCUGACUACAUGUUAUUUUGAUUACUUGUCUAAUUUUCCGCCUUCUCUGAUCAACCAGGAGCCCCAUGAGAUCAGAGAACAUCUCCUCCAUCCACUGUUGAAACCUCUGUAUUUAACUCAAUGUUCUGCAAGCUGCAAACACUUAAUAGACGGUUGUUGAAUGUCAGGGACUUCUAUUUUCUUGGCCAAGUUACCAGGUAGCUAUCCAAGAGACGACAAGGGGGGGAAAGAAAGAGGAGUGAAAUUAGUAACGUUCUGGCUCCCAACAAAGCUGAGAUUAUUGAGGUGUAAGAAGAUCUUGCCAGGGGUUGAAAAGUGAGCCACCAGCUCACGUGGGAUCCGAAUCCAGAAUCCUUGAAGAAGAGAACCAGGAGCUCCAGGAACUGGAUCCUACAUGUCUAUUCAAACGCAAAGCCUUAUGCAGAAGUGAUAAAACCCUUCAACUCCCAUUUCAAAACGUUAAGCAUGAAUGCUGUUACAAGUGUUUGAUUUGGCGAGGGAAGAGAAAAGGCGCCGCAUACCAAUUUCGUGAGCCACGGUGAAAGCCGCGUGGAGGCCAUCAUCUUCAAUCACAGCACAGCUGCG